CAUGUUCCCCAGCCCGGCAAAACUACAAAGAGCAACAUGGCUGGUGGGUGAACUUUGCUAUUAGCGAGCUAGCUGUUUCGUUUGAUUCCUCUGUCAAGCAAACACUGGUGUUCUGAUAAUGAUAGUGUAUGAUUAAUUGAAUUGGUGCCUUCCUGAAGAAUGCGUGGAAUAAGGAGCCAGUGGUAUUGGCCGCCUGCGCAAUUGGACUUCUCGCCAUUACUGUUCCAUUAGUGAGUCCCUUAACGAAGUACUCGGGCAUGAUGAAUGCAGCUGUGCCAUACAACUACCCAGUCCCUGUGCGAAACAAUGGCAAGAUGGACGAUGUCCCCAGCCACCCUUGUGACCCUAAAGGACCAAACCUGGACUGGAUUAAAAGCCUGUAACCAUCCACAUUCCCUUCCCUGUACAGAUCACAGCCCGUUGUUCUUGUCUCUCUGUCUGCUUCUCAGUAGAUUGCCCUCAAUAAAGAUCAUCUAUUUAAUACCACCAA